rnacentral:rRNA from 1 species
UACGUAGGGGGCGAGCGUUGUCCGGAAUUACUGGGCGUAAAGGGCGUGUAGGCGGUUAAUUAAGUCAGGUGUGAAAUACCAGGGCUCAACCCUGGGGGUGCAACUGAAACUGGUUAACUUGAGGGCAGGAGAGGUAAGUGGAAUUCCUAGUGUAGCGGUGAAAUGCAUAGAUAUUAGGAGGAACACCAGUGGCGAAGGCGACUUACUGGCCUGACCCUGACGCUGAGGCGCGAAAGCGUGGGGAGCAAACGGG